rnacentral:rRNA from 1 species
AGCGCACUGCUCGAUCGACUCGUCGGCGUUGGCUGUCGAGAAAUUCGCUUGUGGAACAGCUUUUUCUCCGGUCGACGCGCAAGUAUCGUUAUAAGAUAUGAAGUAUCCACAGUCCCUGUCACACGGGGCUGCCUGCAAGGGUCUAUUAGUGGUCCAUUCAUAUGGAACCUGCUGAUGGAUGUGCUGCUUCAGCGCUUGGAGACACAUUGUGGCUUAAGUGCAUAUGCGGACGACUUACUUCUCCUUGUUGAAGGGAGGAGUCGUGAGGACAUCGAGCGGAAGGGAACGGAGCUUAUGGAGAUCGUCGAAGCCUGGGGAACUGAAGUUGGAGUGAGUGUGUCGACCAGCAAGACGGCAAUCAUGUUGCUCAAGGGCAAAUUAGACCCGAGGCGACAUCCUACGGUACGGCUUGCUGGAGCUAGCCUGCCUUACGUACAGGAAUAACGGUACCUUGGUAUCACAAUUGGCGAACGGUUGAGUUUCCUUCCUCACAUAGAGGUAUUGCGAGACCGACUGGCGAGUGUCACGGCAGCACUGGCACGUGUACUGCGGGUUGAUUGGGGACUCAGCCCCCGCGCGAAGUGUGUUAUCUACGCCGGUCUAAUGACACCUUGCGUGCUAUUUGGUGCCUCGGUUUGGUACAACAAGGUGUGUCGAGGCAAAGCCCGAGACCGUCUUUUAUCGUGCCAAAGGUUAAUCCUUUUAGGAUGCCUACCGGUAUGCCGCACAGUGUCCACAGUGGCACUGCAGGUGCUUGCUGGUGCUCCUCCAAUGGAUUUGGAUGCACACCGUAGUGCAAUUAAAUUCAAGCUCAGGAAAGGAGUGCCCCUGAGUGACAGCGACUGGCUUUCCGGACAGGACCUCUCGGAAUUGGACUGGAACAGCAAAAUGGUGUUGUUAGACGAACGUCUGCUAAAUGAGAGGCAGCUCAGAUGGGACGGAGCGAUACACGGUCGUGUGACGCACAAGUUCUUCCCAGAGGCAGCGUUUGUUUACAAUAGGAAAGACUUUGGUUUUACCCUAAGAGCCGGAUUUUUGCUGUCAGGACAUGGAUCGCUGAACGAAUUUCUGCUGGGGAAAGGUCUCAACAACACACCAGCAUGCUCAUGCGGUGGGGAGCUGGAAGACUGGCUGCACAUCUUAUGUGUUUGCCCCCUUUACGCGGACUUGCGUCACUUGGAGGCUCUAGGCGUAGUGCAGGAACAUGGCAGCUGGAACGUGACGGGAAUAGUUGAGACCCCUGAAAGGAUGCGUCUCCUAGGAACGUUCGCACAGGCAGUCUUCGAGAGGCGAAGGACGGAUCCAUCGAGGUAAUAACCCCGGGAACACUGGACAGGACCAUUUUUGUGGAUAACGCGUUGCGGAGGAGGGGCUUUUAGCCUGUGGUGCCGUGUGGUUAGCGGCGAAGAAUACUGCCACAGCUUGUCAUUGCUUGUCGUACGAGGCGACUAAAAUGGCACAUGAGCACCCUAUCCGGGCUUGUCGGAGCCAAAGGGGGAGGGCCUACCGAGCCCUUAAUUUCGGUACCACGGGUUGGGCAGUUUCCAAGGCUGCCCAUUGAGGUCGGCCCCCUUGUGGGAGUAUCGUGGUGGCUGUGGUUGACACCCAUAUCGCGGGUAGAACUCUCGGGUUCGACGUGGAGUUGCGUUAUACAACUCGGGUGCUGUGACCCAUAGAGCAGCAGAGAUUUUAGAUGGAUCUCGCCCCUCAGCAAGGGGGAGUGUUUGCCCGGCAAGCAAGCACUCAUAUUGACACCGGGGUAGUUGCUAUCUACAUAGCUAUAGCUUCUAGAUCGGGCCGUUCGUCAGGUGCUUAAUCUAGACACAUGCACUAUAUCCUCACUUGCGGGUGUGUUAUGUACUCACUUGUGGGUGCAUGAUGUAUUAACUUGUGGGUAUAUUAGAGUGCCGUGCGCCACGUAAAAAUAAGUGUCGGAGAGAUCUGAUUUACACCUGUCCCUAUCUACUAUCUAGCGAAACCACAGCCAAGGGAACGGGCUUGGAAUAAUUAGCGGGGAAAGAAGACCCUUUUCAGCUUGACUCUAAUCUGGCAGUGUAAGGAGACCUAAGAGGUGUAGAAUAAGUGGGACAUAUUAGACCUCGGUUUGGUAUCGCCAAUGAAAUACCACUACUCUUAUUGUUUCCUCACUUACUUGAUUAAAUGGAACGUGUAUCAUUUCCUAGCCAUUAUACGGAUAUAUUUAUUAUAUCUUAUGGUAUUGGGUUUUGAUGCAAGCUUCUUGAUCAAAGUAUCACGAGUUUUUAUAAUCGCAAACAAAUUCUUUAAUAAAAGGAGUGCAUUUAUGUAUUUUUGAUUUGAAAAUUUGGUAUAACUCCAAUUACUCAGGUAUGAUCCAAUUCAAGGACAUUGCCAGGUAGGGAGUUUGACUGGGGCGGUACAUCUCUCAAAUAAUAACGGAGGUGUCCCAAGGCCAGCUCAGUGCGGACAGAAACCACACAUAGAGCAAAAGGGCAAAUGCUGACUUGAUCUCGGUGUUCAGUACACACAGGGACAGCAAAAGCUCGGCCUAUCGAUCCUUUUGGUUUAAAGAGUUUUUAACAAGAGGUGUCAGAAAAGUUACCAUAGGGAUAACUGGCUUGUGGCGGCCAAGCGUUCAUAGCGACGUCGCUUUUUGAUCCUUUGAUGUCGGACUCUUCCUAUCAUUGUGAAGCAAAAUUCACCAAGCGUUGGAUUGUUCACCCAUGCAAGGGAACGUGAGCUGGGUUUAGACCGUCGUGAGACAGGUUAGUUUUACCCUACUAAUGACAAAACGUUGUUGCGACAGCAUUCCUGCGUAGUACGAGAGGAACCGCAGGUACGGACCAAUGGCACAAUACUUGUUCGAGCGAACAGUGGUAUGACGCUACGUCCGUUGGAUUAUGCCUGAACGCCUCUAAGGUCGUAUCCGUGCUGGACUGCAAUGAUAAAUAAGGGGCAAUUUGCAUUGUAUGGCUUUCUAAACCAUUUAAAGUUUAUAAUUUAUUUUAUGAACGACAAUGGAUGUGAUGCCAAUGUAAUUUGUAACAUAGUAAAUUGGGAGAUCUUCGAUCACCUGAUGCCGCGCUA